GUGGCGGGGCGGGCGGGCGCUGGGGCCCCGGGCUGCCGCCGCGCUCAGGCGAAAGGGUGGCUUGGUCGUCCGCAAAGCCCGGCCUGCGGGGCCGCGACUCCUCGGGCUGGGUGGGGCUGUGCGCCCGCCGAGCCGUCGUGCACUCCGGCCUCCUGCCCCCUGAAGCCUCCGCGUUUGUUGAUUGAAGAGCGGUCCCGCGGCAGAGCGCCCGUAGGUCGGUGGUUUAUUGGGUGGGUGUCCGACUGUUUGCGGCCUCCUCGGUACCGCGGGUUUGCUUUUUGGGUUUUUCGGGUCCGAGGAUGCGCCAGCUUCUGGCGGUGUCGCGUGAAGUGUUGAAACCUUCCGAAAGCUGUGUCUGUGGUCUCUUAGUGAACGUAGGGUCCAAAUCCUGCGGAGUCCACGCGUCUCGCCCUGCGAACUCGUCAACAGCGGUACCGAAGUGUGUCUAGUAAAGCAGCUCUUUGCAAAAUUGCUUAAAUGGAGGAAGAAAAUCGCUUCUCUCGAUCUUACGCAUCUGGGGUUGUAGGUUGUCCUUAGAUAUUUCUCUCUUUUAAUUACGGUGUUGACUUGCUUUGGAAGGUGCGGAUGCCGUGAGGAGUUCAGGCCGGGCUCUCCUGGAUCGCCAUGCUUUGUAGGCCCACGAUCCUCUGCUGAUUGUUUUCCGCACUUUUGUUAUUCAUUGCAAAUAAAUACUCCCAGUUGGAUAGGUUAAUCUUUUUUCUUAGAUAGUAGCCAUUGGGGCUUUUAUCAGGGUGACCCCAACUGGGAGUAUGUUGUCCAUUAUCUGGUGAUAUUUGUAUUUGAUAGGAAAUGCUUUAAAUACACUCAUUUUCCUUCCUUCCUUGUUCUCUCCUUGCAAGGAAGUAAGUGGAGAAGAGGUAAAUUUGUAAUGUCAUGGUGAGCCACAGACCCUGAAGUUGGAAGUUGGAAGGCCUCAGCACAUGCAUAUCCUCUUCUGGCAGGAAGGUUUUACAGGAGAGCCUUGGUAACUAAAGGAUUCUUGACUGGGGGGUGCACUGCAGAACUGCCAGGCCCCUGAUGGUCUAGAAGCAGUAAGCUUUGAUAUCAGUACUUCUGUUGAGCAUCACAGAUACUUCUGAUGCACACUACAGGCCUGGACCUGCAUGGUGAAAAAUGCCAAACGUGUGGCAAAACCAAGGUAAAACUUUCUGUUUCACCUUUGAAAUGCAGUUUAGAAGGUUUUCUUUUUUUUUUUUUUACUCUGUGCCUGAAUAUUAUUCACUCACAGGGAACCAGGGCUCGACCGGAGUGAUGAUGUAUGUGGCAGCACGCAGUCCUUGUGUGUGCAUUAUCUCGGCACCUACCCUGACUGUGAGCCCUGUAUCGAGAUGUGCCUUGUCUCUCUCGAUCUCAGUCCUUACCACAGUACCUAGUUAAGAGUGGGUAUGGAGUGGGCAUUUAUUGAAUGAAUGCUUUCCCAGCAACAGUGUAUUGCAAACGAUAUUCAUAAUCAUCGUCCUGUUUUUACAGAUGAACCCAGUGAAAACAAGGUUUGGUGACUUCUAUGAGCUGGGAUGUGAGCCUGGGGCUUCUGGCUCCUUGUUCAGUGCUCUGUGGAUGAGACCCAGGUGUGCUCUCCGUGGUCCUCCGGGCAGGUCUUUUUUUCCCAUAACACUUAACCAGUCUGUUCUGCAGUCAAUCAUUAAUUGACUCCUUGAGCUGUGAGCUCCUUGAGAGCAGGAACUAUAUCAUGCAAUUCCUUUUGUACCUAGCACAGAGUAAACAUGUUUUUUGCCCUCCAAGUUUAUUUUAAAUUUGCGUUAAAAUGAUAAAUGUUGAUUCACUGAAAACCAAAUUUUGACUAAACAAUAGCAGUAGAUGUGCUAAAUUUGUCAGACUACUAUUACCAGAGAUUUUUUGCUUGUAAGGGUACUGCUUAUAUGAUAGAAUAAAUAAUGGUUUUCCUUUUUAUUUUCAUAGACCCGAAAAGCUUAAUAAUUACCUUCUUAAGUACUUAUGUACAUGUUUGUAUCAAUUGUUCUAUAAUAGCUUAGGCUUUAUUAGUAUAGUAGUAAUCAUUUUAUGAAACUUCUGUUUAUAUCAUCUAUAUAAAUAUGACUUGUUUAUAAAAUAAACUUUUAAACCUCAUAUAAUUGUUAUUAGCCUUAUUUUUUAAGAAUGUGGAAUCUGAACAGAUGGAAUUGCUGAAUACCAGAUUGCACAUUCCUUACACUUACACAUUAUCCUGUUUAAUCUUCCCAAUAACCUUGUGAAGGAGAUGGUAUUAUCUUGUUCUUACAGCUGAAGAGGCUGAGGACUUAAACAGAGGGAGGAUGACUUCUCCAAACGUGGCCAGCAAGUGGUGGAACAUUUAUUAAUAGUUAUUUCUGCUUAUUUCUCUCUUCUGUCCUUGAGAACUUCGAGAGGAAGACAGCUCUCUUCUUCUCACCUCAAUUCCGUCAAAGUCAAGCUCUGACACAGUAGAAGAGUACUUAGAGAGGUCUCAACUUCUCUAAAAAUGUCCCUUGUUCUUCCCAGGAAGAGAAAAGAGAAAGAGCACCCUGAGGACUUCUAAGGAACAUAGGACCUGCUGCCUACACUUUGCCACAAGACAGAUGUUGGGAAACAGUUGCUGGUGAACGUUUUAGAUGCACUUUCCCUCUGUGUCCACCUCUGGAGAGAACGUGAUGCACUUUUGAAGACACGCUGCUCUGGCUUCACAUGACUGACAGGCUCUGGGCUGUGCACUGCUUGCAUUGGCUUGAUUUCAUUUCUGAAGUAGUCCUCCUCCCUUGGGAUGUGAUCCCCCAGGACACAGAAGGAUUCUGUGAACACGUGCUCUCUUCCUCUUGGAACUAGUCUGGCAAAGAGUAUCAGAAAUAGGAUGUCAUACCAUAAGAGGCCUUCGAAUGACUUCCAAACACGUGAUUCUACCCAGAGCUCAGAAACCGGCCAUGGCUGUGCCCCGCGGCAAGGUGACCUUACCUGGCGCUGAGUCGUGCCUGCUUCCUAAAGGCUUUAGAGGGCCUAGGGGCCCACUUACAUAUGUCUGAUAAUGAAAAUGAGUCCAAUGGAAUUAAGC